rnacentral:rRNA from 1 species
GACGAACCGUGCAAACGUUGUUCGGAAUCACUGGGCUUAAAGGGCGCGUAGGCGGGCGAUCAAGUCUGGGGUGAAAGCCUCCAGCUUAACUGGAGAAGUGCCUUGGAUACUGGUCGCCUCGAGGAAGGUAGGGGCAUCUGGAACAAUGGGUGGAGCGGUGAAAUGCGUUGAUAUCCAUUGGAACUCCGGUGGCGAAGGCGAGGUGCUGGACCUUUUCUGACGCUGAGGCGCGAAAGCCAGGGGAGCGAACGGG